UACGUAGGGCGCAAGCGUUAUCCGGAUUUAUUGGGCGUAAAGAGCUCGUAGGCGGUUUGUCGCGUCUGCCGUGAAAGUCCGGGGCUUAACCCCGGAUCUGCGGUGGGUACGGGCAGACUAGAGUGAUGUAGGGGAGACUGGAAUUCCUGGUGUAGCGGUGAAAUGCGCAGAUAUCAGGAGGAACACCGAUGGCGAAGGCAGGUCUCUGGGCAUUAACUGACGCUGAGGAGCGAAAGCAUGGGGAGCGAACAGG
rnacentral:rRNA from 1 species